rnacentral:rRNA from 1 species
UACGGAGGGGGCGAGCGUUAUUCGGAAUUAUUGGGCGUAAAGGGCGCGUAGGCGGCCCGGUAAGUCAAAGGUGAAAUCCCUCGGCUCAACUGAGGAACUGCCUUUGAAACUGUCGGGCUUGAGGCCGGGAGGGGGUAGCGGAAUUCCCAGUGUAGCGGUGAAAUGCGUAGAUAUUGGGAGGAACACCGGUGGCGAAGGCGGCUACCUGGACCGGUUCUGACGCUGAUGCGCGAAAGCCAGGGGAGCAAACGGG